UCUGCCUUAUCGGCAAGCGGUCCCAUUAGAGUGCCCAACUUAAUGCUGGCAACUAAUGGCAAGGGUUGCGCUCGUUGCGGGACUUAACCCAACAUCUCACGACACGAGCUGACGACAGCCAUGCAGCACCUGUCUCCGCGUCCCCGAAGGGAACGCCUGCUUUCACAGGUUAGCACGGGAUGUCAAGCCCAGGUAAGGUUCUUCGCGUUGCUUCGAAUUAAACCACAUACUCCACCGCUUGUGCGGGCCCCCGUCAAUUUCUUUGAGUUUUAAUCUUGCGACCGUAAUCCCCAGGCGGGAUACUCAAUGCGUUAGCGACGGCACCGAAAGGGUAAGUCUCCCGACACCUAGUAUCCAUUGUUUACAGCGUGGACUAC
rnacentral:misc_RNA from 1 species